rnacentral:rRNA from 1 species
UACGGAGGGGGCGAGCGUUAUUCGGAAUUAUUGGGCGUAAAGGGCGUGUAGGCGGCUCGAUAAGUCAAAGGUGAAAUCCCCUCGGCUCAACUGAGGAACUGCCUUUGAUACUGUAGAGCUUGAGUCCGGGAGGGGGGUAGCGGGAAUUCCCAGUGUAGCGGUGAAGUGCGUAGAUAUUGGGAGAACACCAGUGGCGAAGGCGGCUACCUGGACCGGAACUGACGCUGAGGAGCGAAAGCG